rnacentral:rRNA from 1 species
AACGAACGCUGGCGGCAGGCUUAACACAUGCAAGUCGAGCGGGCAUCCUUGUGGUGUCAGCUGCAGACGUGUGAGUAACGCGUGGGAACGUGCCCUUCGGUUCUGAAUCACUCGGGGAAACUUGAGCUCAUACCGGAUACGUGCGAGAGCAGCAAGGUUUAUCUGCCGAAGGAUCGGCCCGCGUCUGAUUAGCUAGUUGGUGAGGUUACGGCUCACCAAGGCGACGAUCAGUAGCUGGUCUGAGAGGAUGAUCAGCCACACUGGGACUGAGACACGGCCCAGACUCCUACGGGAGGCAGCAGUGGGGAAUAUUGGACAAUGGGGGCAACCCUGAUCCAGCCAUGCCGCGUGAGUGAUGACGGCCUUAGGGUUGUAAAGCUCUUUUCGCCGGGACGAUAAUGUCGGUACCGGAGGAAUAAGCCCCGGCUAACUUCGUG